UACGGAGGAUCCGAGCGUUAUCCGGAUUUAUUGGGUUUAAAGGGUGCGUAGGCGGCCUUGUAAGUCAGGGGUGAAAGACGGUAGCUUAACUAUCGCAGUGCCUUUGAUACUGCAGGGCUUGAAUGUACUUGAGGUAGGCGGAAUGUGACAAGUAGCGGUGAAAUGCAUAGAUAUGUCACAGAGCACCAAUUGCGAAGGCAGCUUACUAAAGUAUGAUUGACGCUGAGGCACGAAAGCGUGGGGAUCAAACAGG
rnacentral:rRNA from 1 species